rnacentral:lncRNA from 10 species
UUGGCCUCCAGUUCCAUCCAUGCUGCUGCAAAAGACAUGAUUUCAUUCUUUUUUAUGGUUUACAGUCAGACGUUGAAUGAGACAUGAGAACAUGGGAGAGUCUGGGGACCUGGGAGCAGAGCAACCAUGGUGGAAUAGAGGCAAAGGAAAUGAACAAGCUCUUCAAUUUUCUGUGUCGCUCCUUGCUGUGUACCCUGGACCCUAAGGUGCAAUGCUCUUGACUACCACUGGGCAUCAACAAAUGGAGCCAUCUUAACAUAUCAUCUUGGGGACCUGGUGACACAUCUGUGUUGCAACAGCAUCACGAGGAGCCAGUGUUUCAUCUUCAGUUUGGGUGAGCUGAUAAAACCAAGAGCUUUAGAGGCAAGGAGGUCUUGAGUCAAAUCUCACUUGUUUAAACUUAAGAGGGUUAUUUAAUCACUAUUUCCUCUGUCAAUUUGGGAUUUUUAUAGCUACCAAUUGAGCGUAGGUUGAGUAUCUCUGAUCAAAAUGCUUGAGAUCAGACGGUUCGGAUUUUGUAUUUUUUCAUAUGUUGGAAUAUUUCUAUAAACAUCAUGAAAUGUCUUGGGGAUGAGACCCAAAUCUAAAUGGAAAAUUUAUGUAUGUUUCAUAUAUAUUUUAUACACAAAGCCUAAAGGUAAUUUUAUACAAUAUUUUCAAUAAUUUUGUGCAUGAAAAAUAGUUUUGACUGCAACCUGUCAUGUGAAGUCAGGUGUGGAAUUUUCCACAUGUGACAUCACAUCAGUGCUCAAAAAGUUUCAGGUUUUUGAACAUUGUGGAUUUCAGAUUUUUGGAUUAGGGAUGCCCUACCUGUGUGUGUCCCGACUAACUCUGAGGCCUGGCAAGCUGUGGUUCCUCCGUCUGACCUCCGACCCCAUCAUCCUCCAGUCUGCUCAUGCUCACUUGGCUCCAUCCACACUCACCCUGAUGCUUUUUAAGCAGGCCAGGCACAAUCGGAAGCUAGAGAGCUGUGACCCAAGUCAGGGAGAUGGUUGAAGCUGGCUCAUACUGUGGGAUCUGAAGAGACCACCUUCUUCCCUGGGGCCUGUCUGUCCAGAGGCCUGAGGUCGAUGAAUCUUUGGGGGGAUUUUUGCAAAAAUGCUUGUCUUAGUUUCCUCAAGCUGUAGUACAAACUGCCACAAACUUAGUGUCUUGAAACAAUACAAAUUGGGCUGGGUGUUGUGGCUUAUGCCUGAUUCCCAGCACUUUGGGAGGCCAAGGCAGGUGGAUCACUUGAGGCCAAGAGUUUGAGACCAGCCUGGCCAACCCCGUCUUUACUGAAAAAACAAAAAUUAACCAGGCGU